rnacentral:misc_RNA from 1 species
GCAGGCACCGGCAUCGGCACAGGGGGGCUGUCAUGGAGUUCCGCAGCUCAACUGCCGGUGUCACCAGUAGUCGGCAGCGCCGGUGUUCCAGGCUGCCGACGACGCUGGAGUGCCUGCAGACUUACCCUGUGUGUAUGGUUACUGAGUCUGUUGGUGUCUUGAGGUCAUGUGUGAUGAUGUUUUCGGUAGUGUGUAAGGGUCAUAGAGGGUUGAUUUUUUGUUACAGGUACUCUUGGGAAUGCCUGGUGUUGGGGGAUCUGGCCAUUGCAAGGCGCAUACUAG